rnacentral:rRNA from 1 species
UACGGGGGGAGCAAGCGUUGUUCGGAUUUACUGGGCGUAAAGGGCGGGUAGGCGGCCACCGCAAGUCAGUUGUGAAAUCUCUGGGCUUAACCCAGAAAGGUCAACUGAUACUGCGGGGCUAGAGUGCAGAAGGGGCAACUGGAAUUCUCGGUGUAGCGGUGAAAUGCGUAGAUAUCGGGAAGAACACCUGAGGCGAAGGCGGCUAUCUGGCGGUGCACUGACGCUGAGGCGCGAAAGCGUGGGGAGCAAACAGG